AACGAACGCUGGCGGCAGGCCUAACACAUGCAAGUCGAACGAUAAGCCACCUUCGGGUGGUGGACAGUGGCAGACGGGUGAGUAACGCGUGGGAACGUGCCUUUCGGUUCGGGAUAACCCAGGGAAACUUGGGCUAAUACCGGAUACGCCCUCCGGGGGAAAGAUUCAUUGCCGAAAGAUCGGCCCGCGUCGGAUUAGCUAGUUGGUGGGGUAAAAGCCUACCAAGGCGACGAUCCGUAGCUGGUCUGAGAGGAUGACCAGCCACACUGGGACUGAGACACGGCCCAGACUCCUACGGGAGGCAGCAGUGGGGAAUAUUGGACAAUGGGCGCAAGCCUGAUCCAGCCAUGCCGCGUGGGUGAAGAAGGCCCUAGGGUUGUAAACCCCUUUCAGCGGGGAAGAUAAUGACGGUACCCGCAGAAGAAGCCCCGGCUAACUCCGUGCCAGCCGCCGCCGUAAGAC
rnacentral:rRNA from 1 species